GACGAACCGAGCGAACGUUAUUCGGAAUCACUGGGCUUAAAGGGCGCGUAGGCGGGCCGUCAAGUCCGGGGUGAAAGCCUCCAGCUCAACUGGAGAAGUGCCUCGGAUACUGGCGGCCUCGAGGGAGAUAGGGGCGUGCGGAACUUCCGGUGGAGCGGUGAAAUGCGUAGAUAUCGGAAGGAACACCGGUGGCGAAAGCGGCGCGCUGGAUCUCUUCUGACGCUGAGGAGCGAAAGCGUGGGGAGCGAACAGG
rnacentral:rRNA from 1 species